GGGCCCGCACAAGCGGUGGAGCAUGUGGUUUAAUUCGAUGAUACGCGAGGAACCUUACCAGGGCUUAAAUGGGAAAUGACAGGGGCAGAGACGCCCCCUUCUUCGGACAUUUUUCAAGGUGCUGCAUGGUUGUCGUCAGCUCGUGCCGUGAGGUGUCAGGUUAAGUCCUAUAACGAGCGCAACCCCUACCGUUAGUUGCCAGCGAGUCAUGUCGGGGACUCUAACGGGACUGCCGGUGCAAACCGUGAGGAAGGUGGGGACGACGUCAAAUCAUCACGGCCCUUACGUGUUGGGCUACACACGUGCUACAAUGGUAUCUACAACAGGAAGCAAGACUGCGAAGUUAAGCAAAUCCUUAAAAGAUACCUCAGUUCGGAUUGCACUCUGCAACUCGAGUGCAUG
rnacentral:rRNA from 1 species